CAGCCGCCGCGGUAAUACGUAGGGGGCGAGCGUUGUCCGAAGUUACUGGGCGUAAAGCGCGCGUAGGCGGCUUCUUAAGUCUGAGGUGAAAGGUUCAACGCUUAACGUGAACAGUGCCUUGGAUACUGGGGAGCUCGAGUAUGGGAGAGGGCAGUGGAAUGGCUGGUGUAGCGGUGAAAUGCGUAGAUAUCAGUCGGAACACCCAUGGCGAAGGCAGCUGCCUGGCCUAAUACUGACGCUGAGGUGCGAAAGCGUGGGGAGCGAACGGGAUUAGAUACCCCUGUAGUCCCUGUCUCUUAUA
rnacentral:rRNA from 1 species